CAUGCACAGCAAUCAGGCUGUGUGCAGCACUGCUUGGGUAACUGAAGCUGAUGUUGGUGAGAUUAAUGCUGCUUGAAUGGAAAUGCCUUUGGAAUUCUCCUCUUCCCUCAGGCCCUGAGAAGACUUUUCAGAAAAGUCUUCCCAGUACCUUGAGAAGACUUUUCAUUCCAGCUCAUCCCACUGGACAUUUUCUGGAUGUGCAUUUCUUCAGUUUUGUCUUCCAAUUGCUGUAUCAUUUGGUACUCUUUGGACAUGCAGGAUGCUGAGACAUAAAAAAUAAUGUCAUAAAUUUACAAGUCUGGCUUUUCCCAUCCAGCUCAUGGAUUUUUCUUUUUACUACAGUCAUCCAGCAGAGGAAGAAUUUAAAGAUCUCUGUCACUGGGGAAGCCAGCAUAAGCCUGAAAGAAACUCCUGUGUGUGGCAGUAAGUUCAGGGUUUGAGUCCUUACAGCCAGUGACUAGAUCUCAAGAAGGUAAGCAGUAAAUAAUUUAUCCUGAUGUAAUUUUUUUGAAUUUGUUCUUAUUUUUAAUUUUAAAAAAAAAUUAAAUUUUUUUGCCUUGCAGGGAGCGUUUACACUGUUAUCUCUUGGUUUUCAUUUGUCUGUGCACAUGAGAGAUUCCCAGCAGAGUUCUUUAAUGAUUUCCUAAACUUAAACCACAACUUCUCACUGAGUCAGAUUUUCUCAUAAUAAUGGUUGCAUUUUAAGCUGUUGCAUGACUUAACUAUUAGACUUUUUUUUUUUAAAGCUCACUGUGUCCUUCUGAAAAAGAGAAUGAUGGAGUAUGAAGCCUCCUGUAAUAAAAGGAAAAAGUGCCUAGUGCACACUCAAAGUGCAUUUAUAUUAGGUAAAAGAAAAAUCUAUAUUUUGAAGUAAAGAAGCUCUGCUGCCUCUUAACACUAGUCUGAAACAGGAGGAUGUUGUGAUCACAGCAGGCUGGAAAUCAUUUAUGCAUCUGCCACAAAAUACUUGGAAGAAGGAAAGAACCUGGAUUGGAGCUGCCUUAUCAGGCACCAACAGAAUCACAAAUCAUAAAUCGAGACUCAGGGGUAAAAAAGAGCCAAUAAGGACAACGAGACUGGGUUUGGAAAGGAGAUGGAAAGCUUGCACCUCCCGCAAAACUCAGAACCCAUGGCAAAAGUCAUGUCCUCACUGAAAACUUCUGGAAAUAUGGGCAGUCAAGCAGUCAGACAGUGUCUGCUAUCAGUGCAGAGCCAAAAUAGAGAGUAUUUUCCUAACUGCUGUGAGCUACUUCAAAAUGG